AAGUCGUAACAAGGUCUCCGUAGGUGAACCUGCGGAGGGAUCAUUAACACGUUUCUAAAACGUUACCAACCAACCGCGUGAACUAACUGAAUAAACCCCCCGACCUGGGGGAGGAAUGUGCUGUUGUAUUAUACCUAGUGAUGGAGACACACCAUGUAAGUGGUGUGUCGGGGUGUAAUACAGCUAUGAAUGCGUUAUGAUUUAUCAUUCUGACAUUCGAGGCCGCUUCUCUCUCAGGCUUUCAACCCUCUCUGCCCAUUCCCUCCAUUCAUUGGAGUGGGUAUGAGAACACAAACCAAUUUCACCCCCUUAUAACCAUAGACUAAACCCUAGUGUGUGUUCGAAAGGGCACAAUACACUAACUAUGUUAAAUCAACAUAUCUAAAGCACAACUCUUAGCAACGGAUAUCUUGGUUCUC
rnacentral:misc_RNA from 1 species